rnacentral:rRNA from 1 species
CGCGCAGGCGGGUCAAUAAGUCAGAGGUGAAAUCCUACAGCUUAACUGUAGAACUGCCUUUGAUACUGUUGAUCUUGAGUAUGGAAGAGAGAGACGGAAUUCCAGGUGUAGUGGUGAAAUACGUAGAUAUCUGGAAGAACACCAGUUGCGAAGGCGGUCUCUUGGUCCAAUACUGACGCUGAGGCGCGAAAGCGUGGGUAGCAAACA